AUCUUCUUGGUGUAGUGGUCAGCACGCUCGACGCGUAUUCGAGAGGUCCGUGGUUCGAGUCCCGGCGAGGGCG
rnacentral:tRNA from 1 species